rnacentral:rRNA from 1 species
UGAGGAAUAUUGGUCAAUGGGCGGGAGCCUGAACCAGCCAAGCCGCGUGAGGGAGGAAGGCCCUAUGGGUCGUAAACCUCUUUUGUCAGGGAACAAAAGCGAGUAUGUAUACUAGUCUGAGUGUACCUGAAGAAAAAGCAUCGGCUAACUCCGUGCCAGCAGCCGCGGUAAUACGGAGGAUGCGAGCGUUAUCCGGAUUUAUUGGGUUUAAAGGGUGCGUAGGCGGCGGUGCAAGUCAGCGGUAAAAGCCCGGGGCUCAACCCCGGCGAGCCGUUGAAACUGCAGUGCUAGAGAAGGCGAGAGGUACGCGGAAUGCGCAGUGCAGCGGUGAAAUGCUUAGAUAUUGCGCAGAACUCCGAUUGCGAAGGCAGCGUACUGGCGCCUGACUGACGCUGAGGCACGAAAGCGUGGGGAUCGAACAGGAUUAGAUACCC